UACGUAGGUCCCGAGCGUUGUCCGGAUUUAUUGGGCGUAAAGCGAGCGCAGGUGGCUUAUUAAGUCUGGUGUAAAAGGCAGUGGCUCAACCAUUGUAUGCAUUGGAAACUGGUAGACUUGAGUGCAGGAGAGGAGAGUGGAAUUCCAUGUGUAGCGGUGAAAUGCGUAGAUAUAUGGAGGAACACCGGUGGCGAAAGCGGCUCUCUGGCCUGUAACUGACACUGAGGCUCGAAAGCGUGGGGAGCAAACAGG
rnacentral:rRNA from 1 species